rnacentral:rRNA from 1 species
AACGAACGCUGGCGGCAGGCUUAACACAUGCAAGUCGAACGCGUGCAGCAAUGCACGGGUGGCGCACGGGUGAGUAACGAGUGGAUAUCUGCCUUUUGGUUCGGAAUAACCCCGGGAAACUGGGGCUAAUACCGGAUGGCUCCUACGGGAUAAAGAUUUAUCGCCAAAAGAUGAGUCCGCGUCCGAUUAGCUAGUUGGUGAGGUAAUGGCUCACCAAGGCGACGAUCGGUAGCUGGUCUGAGAGGACGAUCAGCCACACUGGGACUGAGACACGGCCCAGACUCCUACGGGAGGCAGCAGUGGGGAAUAUUGGACAAUGGGGGCAACCCUGAUCCAGCCAUGCCGCGUGAGUGAUGAAGGCCUUCGGGUUGUAAAGCUCUUUUGGCGGGGACGAUGAUGACGGUACCCGCAGAAUAAGCCCCGGCUAACUUCGUG